GGAAAACAAUUUUCUCUGCAUCCUGUCAGUAAUUGAGCAAUAACAAUCAUAAGCUUUAUUGCAUUUGUCAUCAAAGUACUUCAUGGCUAACAGCAAAUUUGAAAAUCUUUUUGCACCAAUAUGGAGUGUCCAAACAGAAAAAUAUCAUCCAUAUACAUCAUAGAACAAUCUCUACUCACGGCAAAUGGAAAGGGGGGACCCUGACAGAUCCCAAAGCUCCCAAAGGGAAAGGAAUAGGUAAAACAAUGUUUAUCAACAUCUUACAUCAGAUAGCACACAAAAAUUUUCACAUAAAGAUCACUAGAUAAGGAUGAUGGUGAAAUAAUUCAUUGGCUAACUUGACACUUAAGCAACAACCCAGUAGAAAGGGUAAAGAUCUUAGGUUUUAAGAUUUAAAGAGGACGAAAAAGGGCCAGGUAUUUGAAGUGGUCAAUUUAAAUGUGCCUAGAACAGCAAAACUCCACCCUGAACCUUUAGAUUCACACAGUCCUAACCCAUCCUCCUAAGUCUUGAAUGGCCACUUAGUUCUGUUUGAAAAAUGAGAAAGCAAUUCAUCAUGCGCUAGUUCAAUCCAGCCCAUUAUUCAAUGGAACAAAGUUCAGCCUUCUUUUUUAGUUGUUGCCAUACAUAGACAAGUUGGCACUUUCCCCUCAGGAUGAAGGUCCUCAAAGCCUUUCAUUCAAACAAUCAAGAUGAAGAAUUCAUAUAUUCUCUAAAGAGCCACGAUCCUGUAUCUUUGGAAAAGACUUGAAAUUAGAGCCUCCAAACAUAGCAAACAAAUGGCAGCACCAGGCUAAGAGCAUGAAUACUAGGGCGCACUUUGAACUUGGGGCCAUAUACCACCCCAUUCUAUUUCUAAAGCUUCCACAAUUGCAAAUGAUAAGUAUCAAAAAUUGUCCCUUGCACAGACAUCUUGCUAUUGCUCACUGAAGAAGAGAGAGAAUUGCAAUUUUUCCUCUAUCAUCUUCAUCAUCAGGCUGUUUUGUUAGUUUCAGAUCAUUAUGUAAGAUUUAAGGUACUCCCUACUCACUAAAGCAAAUAUGAUGCUAUUGUUUAGCAUGCUCUUUGUAGAAAUUUAGGAUUGUUCACAAUUUGGCCCUACUUUUAUUCUUAAUAGGAUAAAGACUUUUCCAAAAACAGAAAAUGUUUGAAAUGGCUUCAGCAGUGAGGAUUGUGGCAGAAUUUUAAUCAAAUUAGGUUAAAGGCUAGUAUCAUGAACACAAAACAUAAAGGUCCCUACAUAAUCCCACCAAGUGCCAAAUUCUAACUGAGUUGUAUAGUAUGUGCAGUAUACUACAUAUAUGAU
rnacentral:misc_RNA from 1 species